rnacentral:misc_RNA from 1 species
GCAAACUUGGUCAUUUAGAGGAAGUAAAAGUCGUAACAAGGUUUCCGUAGGUGAACCUGCGGAAGGAUCAUUACUGAGCGAGGGUGCACUUCGCGUGGCCCGACCUCCCACCCGGUGUUGAUGCGACCUAUUGUAUUGCUUUGGUGACGGCGACGUCACCGACAGCAACCCUGAUCAAAACUCGUGAUGAAAUUGUGUGUCUGAGUUUAAAAAAAAAUGAAAAAGCACAAAACUUUCAACAACGGAUCUCUUGGUUCUGGCAUCGAUGAAGAACGCAGC